CCCUACGGGGUGCACCAGCACGACGGAGUGUGGUGGUUUUCGUGGACCCCGCAGUACUGCAAGCCGGUGCUGCCCUACGAACCCGUGCCUCGAGCCGAUGUUCGUCCCGCGCCCAUCCGCAGUCUGCUCGGCUACGGCAUGGUGGUGCCCGAGGGACAUCCCGCCAACGAUCAGGUGCACGUGAUGGUGGUGUCGGCGGCCGAACGCGUCGAACCCUAUUCCCUGAAGGCUGUCGAGAAGUCCAAGCGCAGCCAGGUGCGGACGGGCCUGAC
rnacentral:rRNA from 1 species